CUUGCUUCUCUUGAGAGCGGCGGACGGGUGAGUAAUGCCUAGGAAUCUGCCUGGUAGUGGGGGAUAACGUUCGGAAACGGACGCUAAUACCGCAUACGUCCUACGGGAGAAAGCAGGGGACCUUCGGGCCUUGCGCUAUCAGAUGAGCCUAGGUCGGAUUAGCUAGUUGGUGGGGUAAUGGCUCACCAAGGCGACGAUCCGUAACUGGUCUGAGAGGAUGAUCAGUCACACUGGAACUGAGACACGGUCCAGACUCCUACGGGAGGCAGCAGUGGGGAAUAUUGGACAAUGGGCGAAAGCCUGAUCCAGCCAUGCCGCGUGUGUGAAGAAGGUCUUCGGAUUGUAAAGCACUUUAAGUUGGGAGGAAGGGUUGUAGAUUAAUACUCUGCAAUUUUGACGUUACCGACAGAAUAAGCACCGGCUAACUCUGUGCCAGCAGCCGCGGUAAUACAGAGGGUGCAAGCGUUAAUCGGAAUUACUGGGCGUAAAGCGCGCGUAGGUGGUUUGUUAAGUUGGAUGUGAAAUCCCCGGGCUCAACCUGGGAACUGCAUUCAAAACUGACUGACUAGAGUAUGGUAGAGGGUGGUGGAAUUUGCCUGUGUAGCGGUGAAAUGCGUAGAUAUAGGAAGGAACACCAGUGGC
rnacentral:rRNA from 1 species